GGUUCCAUAAUAUAGUGGUUAGCACGUCCGCUUUACAUGCAGAAGGUUCUCGGUUCACACCCCAGUGGAGCCA
rnacentral:tRNA from 1 species